GGCAGCACGGAGCUUGCUCUGGUGGCGAGUGGCGAACGGGUGAGUAAUAUAUCGGAACGUACCCUAGAGUGGGGGAUAACGUAGCGAAAGUUACGCUAAUACCGCAUACGAUCUAAGGAUGAAAGUGGGGGAUCGCAAGACCUCAUGCUCGUGGAGCGGCCGAUAUCUGAUUAGCUAGUUGGUAGGGUAAAAGCCUACCAAGGCAUCGAUCAGUAGCUGGUCUGAGAGGACGACCAGCCACACUGGAACUGAGACACGGUCCAGACUCCUACGGGAGGCAGCAGUGGGGAAUUUUGGACAAUGGGCGAAAGCCUGAUCCAGCAAUGCCGCGUGAGUGAAGAAGGCCUUCGGGUUGUAAAGCUCUUUUGUCAGGGAAGAAACGGUGAGAGCUAAUAUCUCUUGCUAAUGACGGUACCUGAAGAAUAAGCACCGGCUAACUACGUGCCAGCAGCCGCGGUAAUACGUAGGGUGCAAGCGUUAAUCGGAAUUACUGGGCGUAAAGCGUGCGCAGGCGGUUUUGUAAGUCUGAUGUGAAAUCCCCGGGCUCAACCUGGGAAUUGCAUUGGAGACUGCAAGGCUAGAAUCUGGCAGAGGGGGGUAGAAUUCCACGUGUAGCAGUGAAAUGCGUAGAUAUGUGGAGGAACACCGAUGGCGAAGGCAGCCCCCUGGGUCAAGAUUGACGCUCAUGCACGAAAGCGUGGGGAGCAAACACGAUUAGAUACCCUGGUAGUCCACGCCCUAAACGAUGUCUACUAGUUGUCGGGUCUUAAUUGACUUGGUAACGCAGCUAACGCGUGAAGUAGACCGCCUGGGGGAGUACGGUCGCAAGAUUAAAA
rnacentral:rRNA from 1 species